ACGCUGGCGGCAGGCCUAACACAUGCAAGUCGAGCGGUAGAGAGAAGCUUGCUUCUCUUGAGAGCGGCGGACGGGUGAGUAAUGCCUAGGAAUCUGCCUGGUAGUGGGGGAUAACGUUCGGAAACGGACGCUAAUACCGCAUACGUCCUACGGGAGAAAGCAGGGGACCUUCGGGCCUUGCGCUAUCAGACGAGCCUAGGUCGGAUUAGCUAGUUGGUGAGGUAAUGGCUCGCCAAGGCGACGAUCCGUAACUGGUCUGAGAGGAUGAUCAGUCACACUGGAACUGAGACACGGUCCAGACUCCUACGGGAGGCAGCAGUGGGGAAUAUUGGACAAUGGGCGAAAGCCUGAUCCAGCCAUGCCGCGUGUGUGAAGAAGGUCUUCGGAUUGUAAAGCACUUUGAGUUGGGAGGAAGGGCAGUAAAUUAAUACUUUGCUGUUUUGACGUUACCGACAGAAUAAGCACCGGCUAACUCUGUGCCAGCAGCCGCGGUAAUACAGAGGGUGCAAGCGUUAAUCGGAAUUACUGGGCGUAAAGCGCGCGUAGGUGGUUCGUUAAGUUGGAUGUGAAAUCCCCGGGCUCAACCUGGGAACUGCAUUCAAAACUGUCGAGCUAGAGUAUGGUAGAAGGGUGGUGGAAUUUCCUGUGUAGCGGUGAAAUGCGUAGAUAUAGGAAGGAACACCAGUGGCGAAGGCGACCACCUGGACUGAUACUGACACUGAGGUGCGAAAGCGUGGGGAGCAAAC
rnacentral:rRNA from 1 species